rnacentral:tRNA from 1 species
GGCGGGGUAGCUCAGUUGGUUAUGAGCGUAGUGCUAAUAACGCUAAGAGGGCGGGUUCGAUCCCCGUUCGGGCCA